UACCAGCACCCCGAGUGGUCGGGACGUUUAUUGGGCCUAAAGCAUCCGUAGCCGGUUCUACAAGUCUUCCGUUAAAUCCACCUGCUUAACAGAUGGGCUGCGGAAGAUACUAUAGAGCUAGGAGGCGGGAGAGGCAAGCGGUACUCGAUGGGUAGGGGUAAAAUCCGUUGAUCCAUUGAAGACCACCAGUGGCGAAGGCGGCUUCCUGGACCAGCACCGACGUCAGGCACGAAAGCGUGGGGAGCAAACAGG
rnacentral:rRNA from 1 species